rnacentral:rRNA from 1 species
CAGCAGCCGCGGUAAUACGUAGGUGGCAAGCGUUGUCCGGAAUUAUUGAGCGUAAAGGGCUCGCAGGCGGUUUCUUAAGUCUGAUAUGAAAGCCCCCGGCUCAACCGGGGAGGGUCAUUGGAAACUGGGAAACUUGAGUGCAGAAGAGGAGAGUGGAAUUCCACGUGUAGCGGUGAAAUGCGUAGAGAUGUGGAGGAACACCAGUGGCGAAGGCGACUCUCUGGUCUGUAACUGACGCUGAGGAGCGAAAGCGUGGGGAGCGAACAGGAUUAGAUACCCGGGUAGUCCCUGUCUCUUAUAC